AUGCGAUUAUAUUGGAGACAGGUUUAUAUCAGUGAAUGGCAUCUAAUUACUGUAUCUCUAAGUGGCAGCCAUUUUGUAUCUCUAAGUGGCAGCCAUUUUGUUAUUGUAUCUCUAAGUAGCAGCCAUUUUGUUAUUGUAUCUCUAAGUAGCAGCCAUUUUGUUAUUGUAUCUCUAAGUAACAGCCAUUUAGCAACCAGGGAAACUAUUGUUCUGCCUGACUGUGGUGCUUUUUAUCUGAAUUGUUAGGAUUAUCUUGUGACCAGAAAAAAACUACUUAUUUUGCUCAAAUAGAGAGAUAAUUCAAUAGUGUUUUCUUUGAAAAGAUGGGCCUGGCUGAGAAUAGAACAUUCAGUUUUCUGCCUCAUGGUGGUGCUGUUAUCUUGUUAUUUCUGGAUUAUCUCAUGAUGAGAACAAACCUACUUAUUUUACUCAACUAGAAACUGAAAUAAAUGGUGUUGCUUUAAAAAGAUGUCGCUGACUGACAUGGGCUCUUUCCUC
rnacentral:lncRNA from 13 species